AGUACCAAGUUACCCUCCCCCAAACAAGAGAAUCACAAAAUAUUUAUUUAGCAUAUGAGUUUAGCAAAGCAAUAAUGUAUUUUGCUAUCAAGUUCUUUCUCUCCCACAGUAGAAAAUACUCAUUUAGAAACAAGGAUAUUCUUAGCUCACUGUCCUUUAGACAGCGCUGUAUAAGCGCUGAACAAUUCUAAAUGUUUUUUUCCCCAUUUUUAUCCCCAUUCAGACCACUACUCUUCUGCUGAGACACACUAUUUUCUUAUGGCUUCAAGGAAGGGAUUGUUUUUCAGCAUUACAGCAUUAGUUUCCUUUCAAACCUUAGUCCUUCUAAUUCCCUAUCAACAACACAUUUAACUACCACGAUUUAGGAUAGAUUAUUAUCAUAAUUGGUCCACCUCUUCUUUAGGCUGUAGCUUAUACUGCUUUACCUCGGAGAGGGUACAGUCAACAUCAGCUCCAAGGGAAGAAAAUGAUCAGGAGGAAGAGAAUAAAGAGAAGGAAGAAAAGGAAGAGGAGGAAGAAGAAUAUCACAUCAACAAAUUUGUAUUGCAGGACUACUCUACACAGAGAUGGUUCUAAGCACUGGGAAUACAGGACUGAACAAGAGAGGUCUACUUAUGAGGAAUGGAAUUUUGGAAAGGAAGAUAACAUCUAAUUGAGAAUCGAUAGCUUUUUGAUCAAAAACAACUGCACAUGUUCAUCUGUUAACGUGGUUGAGGGCAUUUCUUUCUUUCCAGAAAAAUUUCUGCAUCAACCCUGAGCUGAAAAUAUUGCAAUGAAACUUGACCACUGCUAAGCUAUUGAAAUGUGCGAUAGGGUGAGUCAGGAUACUCAGUUUUCAUUUCAGUCAAAAAUUCACAAAACUGACAAUGGUUGAGUCCAUGAGAGGGAAUGAAUUUCACUGUUGACACUACUGAUUCAAUAAAACAUAAUAGAUUUUAGCAUUUUCCUCAAAAACCUGCUGGUGAAUAGUAAAGUGGGCAAUGAUGGGCUUUAAACCCUUUACAUUUUCAUAUGUCUUGUAAGUUUGUUCAAAUAAGCCUUUCCCUGCUCCAUAUGUAUUUUUAUUAUCAGUCGUACCAGCAGACCCCAUUUCACGUUGUACUGGAUUCAAGCUUUCUCAACUUCCAUAAAAAAUUCCUCACCUCCCCUAGUUUUGUGCAGACCACUCUUAGGGGUUAAUUAUAUAAUCAGUUAAAGCUUGAUAUUGACUCAUCAAAUAAGUAACAACUGAUGAGUGUUAGCAACAUCUGUGAACUCAUCAGGAGCAAUGCAAAGCCAGUCAAAAUCAUUUGCUUUUAAAAAAUAAGGUAAAUUGAUUAUCAAUGCUGCUCCCAGUGUCCUUAACUCAUCAAGUAACUGUUCUGGCUAAAAGGCUAAUCAUAUUAAACAAGUUUGUUUUCUCUAAACACAUUUCUUCAGCUGCUCAAAUCUAACAUGAUUUAAAUAACUCACCAUUGGUAAAUGGCUUUUCUUGCUUGGCUAAAAAAUGGGACAUUUGAAAUUUUAUUAUGGUUGUAGCCUCAGUCUCAUUUGUUAUUUUUGUGAAGAAAUUCUACUGUGAUGAGAUACGCUGUUUUAAAUUUUCUAGUUUUUCUAAACAUUGCAUUUCUGUGAGUAGGAAAUAUUGUGAACAAUGCUUAGUUUGUUAAUGUCAAUAUAAUUUUUUUAAGAAUAGAUAUAUCAUCGUUGGGCAAUUUGCUAUCAAAUUCAGUACAAAAUAAUUCAUACUCA
rnacentral:lncRNA from 1 species